AUUAGCAGGAACAAAGUAAGUGAAUGAAUAUAUGAUGUUGAAAAACAAUUAACUGUAUCCCUAAACGUAUUUUACUUUGAAUUGGUAGCCAUUCCAAGGGUUCUAGAAAAAUUAGAAACUUAAGCAACCAAGACUGAGAGUCCGUUUGGGAUUGAGGUUGAAAUUGUUCUUUUGUAAAAGCACUCUUUUAGAUGUUGAAAAAAACCGCUUGAAAAGUUGCUUUAUUGUUUUGAAGUUUUUAUGAUCAAAAUAUGCCAAAUUUAAAUUAACAUCAAAAUUUAAAAGUCUCGAAUAAAUACUUUUGAGACAAUGCUUUUCUCAAAAGCAGCUUAAACAAAAAUACCAAACAAACUUUGAAAAAAAAAAGUAACAAUUCACUUAUGCACUGUGAUAACCAUCACAUAAAAAAACCUGAGAAAAGCUUUCUGCGCAGA
rnacentral:misc_RNA from 1 species